CUUCUCUGUGCAACCCCACCCACCUGCAGCACCUGAUCCUCCCCAUCCCAGCGGCUCGGGGGGGCUGACCCUGGCAGCUCCUCCCUGUCUUUGGAUAACAGCGCUAACCAGGGGGCGAUUAUUAAUCCGCUGUCACUAUUGUCACCAGGUGAUUCCCUGCCCCCCGCCCUGCCCAGGUGUGAUGGACGUGCAGGAGGUGCUCCUGCAGCUCUGGGGGGAGGUGGCCAGGCUGCAGGAGCUGUGCUCGGAGCAGGGGAGGCUCCUCCGGAGGCUGAGGGCCAGGAAGGGACCGGUCCUGGACAUCCCGGUGUCGCUGCCUGUGCAGUGCACGGAGGAUGUGGUGACAGGGGACGGGCAGAGGUCACCUGAGAGCCGCCAGAAGCACCCAGGGGCUCUGACAUCGCCCACGUCCCCCCUGGAGGGCUCUGCCGGUCCCGUGGAGCAGCCCCAGGACACCAAGAGGCUCCUCCCGAGCCCUGGGAGCGGCGCUGGCAGCGGAGGAGCCGCGGCUUCGGGCAGCACCGAGGGGCAGGAGGGGGAUGAGCCCACCUGGAGGAGCCCCUGGAUCCUCCCCGUGCCCUGGGGAGGAGGGAGAGCCCCCUCCAGCCCUGGGGAGCUGGAGACGCCCAACCCAGGGGCUGGGGGCUCCUCCCCAAACCCCCUGGAUCUCUACGAAGCCCCGGAGGUGCCCGAGAGGGAAGACGCUGGCAGCGACGUGGCUCUGGUGGAGAUCCGAGGGCCUGUGAAGAGCUGCUGGACGCCGGGCUGGGCGCUGGGGGCUGACCCCGCCCGUGAGGCCGCCCCCGCCUGUGAGCUGUGCCGGGAGGUUCUCCCCGCGGGGGCAGCGGCACACGCGGAAUAUCUGAGCCACGUCCUGGCCCAUCUGGAGUAGGACUCGUCCUCCCAACGGGAGAUCCGUGGGUUUGCACCCGACCCGCGGGACUGGCUCUGGACGUUCCCAAACUGGACUUGGUGCCCUCUUCCAGCCCCGGGGCUCUGUGGUUGGUGAGGAUUUUUGGGAUCCUGCUGCUGCUUUGGACUGGGUUUCCACCUUCCCCAUCCUUCUCCAGGCCGAAUGAGCUCUCAGAUCUGCAUCGCGGGUGUGUUUUGGGUUAUUGAUCUCCGUGGAUCUUGAUGAUGAUCCCAUCCCGGGGUCUGGAGGUGUGAGGGGGAGCUGCAGCUCCUGGGAAAAGGGAAUUGCCUUUGAGUGGAAAUGAGUCUUCCAUGAAUAGUUAGGGAUGUUUGGGAAGGCACCCUGGCGUUUUCUGGGAGUUUGGAAGGUUGAGUGGAGAAUCUCAAGGCUUUUGGGGGUCUAAGAAUUAUUUUAAUUCAUUAACAGUAGUUUGAGUGUUUUAUAGCACCUCCAUCAGUGGUAUCCAACGUGUUUCCCAAAGGAAUUCACUGCAGCAGUGGGGAAAUGAGGCACAAAUCAUGGAUCACCUCCAAAUCUCUCUUUUCUGUUGGAAAAAUCUAUCUCAGGCUUUUAUGUUUUGCAAGUUUCUCCCAGAGUGGAUUUGACGUCUCCUGCUUGAGGAAACUUGUGUUGAAAUGGAGAGCCAGGUUCUCCUGUGACGUCAGGGACUGGGAGGAAUCAGGAACUCCAGAUCCAACAUCUCCCCUUUGGCAGCAGAGAGAAGUCAGGAGUGAAGUUUCUUCCCCAGAACGGAGCCACAGUAAUGGAUUUACUGGUGACAAACUUCUGUGUGUCCCCAGGGUCCCUGGAACCAUUUUCCGAGACUAAUCCCACAGCUUUGACCUUGGAUUCUCCAUCCACGUGGAUUUUGGAGCUGCUUCCAGCCCUGGGUAGAACUGGGGCCUUUAUUUCACUGAAAAUGGGUUUUCUCCAAGUUUUCUCCAAGAUUUCUCCACAACACAACUUUCCCACCACCCUCUUCUGCUCCAAGAUUCAUCCUGUGGCUCCUCAGAUUUAUUUGGAUUAUUUGAUAGGGUUUUAUUCUCUUCUUAGGGGACAAACCCUCAUUUCCCGGGUGAAUCCCUGGAAGCUGGAACAAGGAUUCCAUCAAUUUAUUCCCAUUGAUUGGGGAUAAUCAAUGGGAUUAUUGCAUCCCAUUAUUCCAACCGAAUUGCUGGAGUUGGAUGGAAGGAGGAACCCAGCCAGGCUCUGCUCGCCCAGGAAAACCAAUUCCCAAAGCAGGAGCACGGAUUUGUCAGGAGCCAAAGCCGCUGGUGUGGGGCAGGUGUGGCUCUGCAGUGCCCAAAAUGCCGUGGAAAACCCCCCUGGCAGCACUUGGGGUGAGCCACGAGGGAAUUUUGUGCUGAUCCUCCAUCAGGACAGCCAUGGAAGCUCUCAAGGACAUUUUUAGCUGCGGGGGAAUUAAAUCCCCCCCUCCCAGAUGGGACACGGAGCCUUUUUGGCUCCAGCCUUUUCCAGGGCAGGAAGGUGGCUCUGUCUCCAAAAUAACUUUAAUUGCAGGUUGCUGGUGGGGCCCGUGGGUGGGGUGUGGUUUUUGGGGUCAGGUUGGGCCCCGGGUGGGUGGGAGUUGUUUUGGGACAGGCAGAUUCCCGUCAGGAGAAGAUGGAAAAUGGGAAUUGGGUGAGUUCAGGGAUGAGGGUGCCCCACUCGUGUUUUCUCCAAGCAGGGAUGGAGCUGGUGAUGAUGCUCCUGGGGAAGCCACGGCAGCAAAAAUGCAGCUGGAAAUGGGAUUUUGGGUGGAAAAUGUUCAUUUUUGAGAGUUUCUAAUCCAGGGCUUUGGGGAGAGGGAAGGGGCCCUGGUGCUGGAGAUCGGAAGAGCGGUUCAGCAGGAAUGCUGGUGCUGGGGUGUCCUGGCACCGAGCUCUGGGCACCAAUCUCACCCCAAAUUCCAACAUCCAGCACUUUGGGGGCCACAUUUUCAGAGGAGAUGGAAGAAAUGGGGGUGGGGCAGGGUGGGAUUUCAUCCCUCUAAUUGGAGAGUGAGGGAAAAGGGAAAUUUCCUGCCCAGGAACAGCAUUUCUCUGGCUGCUGUGGUUGUCCCAAACCUCCUGGGAAUUGCCAUCGGAAAUGAGGGAUGGGGGGAAUCGUCUCUCCCCCCAUUUGCAGCAGGAGCCCGUCUGUGCCACCAGCAAGGAUGGCAAGUCAUUAAUGCCUCUGUUAAUUAAUAACUGACCCUCGAUUUUCAUCCCUCAUUAAGGGAAGGGAAAUGUUCCGUGAUCCUGUUUUGUUUGGACACCAGCUCGAGGAAGCAGAGACUGGAAAAUGGGAUAAAAAAAGUGCAUUUCCGAGCAGUUCAGUGACUUCCAAGUGUCGUUUUUGGAAGAGUUUUAGGUGACAGCUCGACCCUCCCGAAUUUCUGAGCAUUUCUGAGCCGUCCCUGCUGGGACAAGGGGAAUUUUGGGGAGUU
rnacentral:lncRNA from 12 species